UAUAGACGAACUUAGAAUAUGUUUACGACAAGAAGCUGCAAGAUGGGCAUGUCUUCUUGAUGAUAUCACUUGUACGAAAGAAGCCAACAAUAAAUUAGAACAACAUCUCCAAGAUCUUGAAAAACACAAACUUUUGCCAUGGUGGAAGGAAUGGACAUAUUGUAAAGGUUUGAUGAUAAAUACCAACAAACCGACUUGGGAAUCAGUGUAUGCUAUAGACAUGUUCAUUUAACUGCAGUAUUAAUUAUUAUUAUUAAUAAUGUAUAUUCCGUAAAUCUUCUAACUGAGGAAAUAAACGAACACGUUAAAUGGUUGAAAGCCUAUGCAAAGAUAUUAUUUGAUGAAAUAAAAGAAAUGGAUUCCAUAAUGCUAAAUUCUGACAAAGCUG